rnacentral:rRNA from 1 species
UGCCAGCAGCCGCGGUAAUACGGAGGGCGCAAGCGUUAUUCGGAAUUAUUGGGCGUAAAGGGCGCGUAGGCGGUGCGAACAGUCAGGCGUGAAAGCCCCGGGCUUAACCUGGGAACUGCGUUUGAUACUGUCGCGCUAGAGAUCGGGAGAGGGUAGUGGAAUUCCCAGUGUAGAGGUGAAAUUCGUAGAUAUUGGGAAGAACACCAGUGGCGAAGGCGGCUACCUGGACCGAUUCUGACGCUGAGGCGCGAAAGCGUAGGGAGCAAACAGGAUUAGAUA